GAAAAGGUUUAAAGCCUAUUUCCCUUUCACAAAACAAUGUAGGGUAUGCUGGGACACAACAUAGAAGUCGCAAUCAAAAGGCUCGGCCAAGGUUCAGGACAAGGCGCGCAGGAAUUCAGAAAACGAAGUUGUUCUGAAUGCAAAGCUAUAGCACAGAAACCUCGUUCGACUUAUUGGACGGUGCAUCGACAGAGAUGUGAAGUUGUUGGUUUACGUAUACUUACCAAACAGAAGCUUGGAUUCCGUUAUCUUUGGCAACAACAUCUCCUCUGUUGGCCAACACAUUUCAAGAUAAUCAAAGGAGUGUCUAGAGGGCUUCUAUAUUUUCACCAUGAUUCAAGGUCGACUAUAAUUCAUAGAGAUCUUAAGACGAGCAACAUACUAUUGGACGCGGAUAUGAACCCAAAGAUAUCAGAUUUUGCAAUGGCAGGCAUCUUUUGUGCAAACCGGAAUGAAGCAAUUACGAAUCGAGUCGUUGGGACAUACGAGGGAUGGUUGUGUCAUCCAUGGUAGUUGCCAGCCUCAAAGAUUGGUCUGAAGGUAAGGUCCAAGAUGAGAUGUGCUGGUUAGAUCAAGAGUUCUACAGGAGCAUUGAGGGAACCUAUGCAGAACUUGUUGCGGGUGCUCCCUAUCGUCUACCGAUACAUGACGAGCAGCAGCUCAACAGUGUGCGGCAAUGUAAAUGGGUUGUGAUAUCAUGACUUCACGAGCAUUGGAAUCGAUACCAAGAGUGCAGUCCUAACUCACGAGCCAUCAAGUGCGACCAAUAAAGGUGGAAAGAAUGGAAGAAAUGAGUUGUCUUGGUGAGUGGUACUCUCACAGACCGUCAUGUAUCGGUGUUUUUGCAACAUCAUUUCCUUUUUUCCUUUCUAUAUUUAGCAGGACAAGGCGACUAGAGCUCACAAAAAGUGAUGUACUCUGUGUACUCGUCUUCGUAGUUGCUCUAGCUGAGCUAGUGAGAGAUGAAAUGACACUUGACACAUGAGACUUCACUCUUCAGUUCACUGUGGUGUCUCAUAAUUGUUGAACAAUAGGUAUCAUCCUUGAUUUUGGAUUUUUGGGUGGUAUCGUCCUUGAUUUUGAUUUCUAUUUAGUGUUUGGUCAGAGGAAUGGAUUCGUCUGUAGUAUCAACUUGUUGUACCAACGAGCAAAAAAAUGUCUCAGGUCGGCUAAGAAGCCACACCAAACUGAGCC